GCCUUUAUGUGCAGAGAGGAGACGGCCUUGUAGCGCUGUGGAGUAACUGCUGGCACAGAAGUACACAGAUGUCUGGGAGGGAGCAGCCGACAGCAGCCUGAGCGGGAAAUCCUCUGUGGUUGAUCUGGAGACAUUGUAGCCAUUGGGGACUUCUCCUUGGUCAGUGAUACCAGCACCAACUGAGUAAUGAAUCAGCCUCAGCCCCAUGCCUGGGUCUUGUCGAUACCAGGACAUGUAUUCAUGGUUCAUAUCCUGGGCACACUGCAGUGUCAUGCUCUGUCCUGUCUUCAGGACCUGGAAUUUUGGGGUCUGAGUGACACCAGCAUUCACUGGACUGCCCACAGGAGAGACAAGGCUGCACAGCACAGGAGGCCGAUGCUCAUGGCAGAUGCUGCAUGACGGAGGGGUCUUCUGUAUCUGUGCAUUGAUGAAAGGGGAGCAGGACUCUCA
rnacentral:lncRNA from 1 species